GUGCAUUUGAAAUGUUUGAUGGAUGUACUCGGGUGUAUUGCUACACGGUCAGCAUUUCUGAUAACAUCAAAGACUCAAGAUACAUUUGUGACCAAUAUUUUCUAAGGUCACACGAGGUUGGAGUAUCAAUGUCCAGUGCCCUGUCAUAUCGAGCUCAUUGGAUGAUUUCUGCUCUUAUAUUUAUGGUCACUUUAUUGUUUAAGACUUUGUAGGUUGAAUACAAAAAUAAAUCGAAAAAAAACCGA
rnacentral:sRNA from 1 species